AUUGAACGCUGGCGGCAGGCCUAACACAUGCAAGUCGAGCGGAUGAAGGGAGCUUGCUCCUGGAUUCAGCGGCGGACGGGUGAGUAAUGCCUAGGAAUCUGCCUGGUAGUGGGGGAUAACGUCCGGAAACGGGCGCUAAUACCGCAUACGUCCUGAGGGAGAAAGUGGGGGAUCUUCGGACCUCACGCUAUCAGAUGAGCCUAGGUCGGAUCAGCUAGUUGGUGGGGUAAAGGCCUACCAAGGCGACGAUCCGUAACUGGUCUGAGAAGAUGAGCAGUCACACUGGAACUGAGACACGGUCCAGACUCCUACGGGAGGCAGCAGUGGGGAAUAUUGGACCAUGGGCGAAAGCCUGAUCCAGCCAUGCCGCGUGUGUGAAGAAGGUCUUCGGAUUGUAAAGCACUUUAAGUUGGGAGGAAGGGCAGUAAGUUAAUACCUUGCUGUUUUGACGUUACCAACAGAAUAAGCACCGGCUAACUUCGUG
rnacentral:rRNA from 1 species